rnacentral:rRNA from 1 species
UACGUAGGGGGCAAGCGUUAUCCGGAUUUACUGGGCGUAAAGGGAGCGUAGACGGCAUGGCAAGUCAGAUGUGAAAGCCCGGGGCUCAACCCCGGGACUGCAUUUGAAACUGUCAGGCUGGAGUGCAGGAGAGGUAAGCGGAAUUCCUAGUGUAGCGGUGAAAUGCGUAGAUAUUAGGAGGAACACCAGUGGCGAAGGCGGCUUACUGGACUGUAACUGACGUUGAGGCUCGAAAGCGUGGGGAGCAAACAGG